GGUUAAGCGACUAAGCGUACACGGUGGAUGCCCUGGCAGUCAGAGGCGAUGAAGGACGUGCUAAUCUGCGAUAAGCGUCGGUAAGGUGAUAUGAACCGUUAUAACCGGCGAUUUCCGAAUGGGGAAACCCAGUGUGAUUCGUCACACUAUCAUUAACUGAAUCCAUAGGUUAAUGAGGCGAACCGGGGGAACUGAAACAUCUAAGUACCCCGAGGAAAAGAAAUCAACCGAGAUUCCCCCAGUAGCGGCGAGCGAACGGGGAGCAGCCCAGAGCCUGAAUCAGUGUGUGUGUUAGUGGAAGCGUCUGGAAAGGCGCGCGAUACAGGGUGACAGCCCCGUACACAAAAAUGCACAUGCUGUGAGCUCGAUGAGUAGGGCGGGACACGUGGUAUCCUGUCUGAAUAUGGGGGGACCAUCCUCCAAGGCUAAAUACUCCUGACUGACCGAUAGUGAACCAGUACCGUGAGGGAAAGGCGAAAAGAACCCCGGCGAGGGGAGUGAAAAAGAACCUGAAACCGUGUACGUACAAGCAGUGGGAGCCUCUUUUAUGGGGUGACUGCGUACCUUUUGUAUAAUGGGUCAGCGACUUAUAUUCUGUAGCAAGGUUAACCGAAUAGGGGAGCCGAAGGGAAACCGAGUCUUAACUGGGCGUUAAGUUGCAGGGUAUAGACCCGAAACCCGGUGAUCUAGCCAUGGGCAGGUUGAAGGUUGGGUAACACUAACUGGAGGACCGAACCGACUAAUGUUGAAAAAUUAGCGGAUGACUUGUGGCUGGGGGUGAAAGGCCAAUCAAACCGGGAGAUAGCUGGUUCUCCCCGAAAGCUAUUUAGGUAGCGCCUCGUGAAUUCAUCUCCGGGGGUAGAGCACUGUUUCGGCAAGGGGGUCAUCCCGACUUACCAACCCGAUGCAAACUGCGAAUACCGGAGAAUGUUAUCACGGGAGACACACGGCGGGUGCUAACGUCCGUCGUGAAGAGGGAAACAACCCAGACCGCCAGCUAAGGUCCCAAAGUCAUGGUUAAGUGGGAAACGAUGUGGGAAGGCCCAGACAGCCAGGAUGUUGGCUUAGAAGCAGCCAUCAUUUAAAGAAAGCGUAAUAGCUCACUGGUCGAGUCGGCCUGCGCGGAAGAUGUAACGGGGCUAAACCAUGCACCGAAGCUGCGGCAGCGACGCUGAUGCGUUGUUGGGUAGGGGAGCGUUCUGUAAGCCUGUGAAGGUGUGCUGUGAGGCAUGCUGGAGGUAUCAGAAGUGCGAAUGCUGACAUAAGUAACGAUAAAGCGGGUGAAAAGCCCGCUCGCCGGAAGACCAAGGGUUCCUGUCCAACGUUAAUCGGGGCAGGGUGAGUCGACCCCUAAGGCGAGGCCGAAAGGCGUAGUCGAUGGGAAACAGGUUAAUAUUCCUGUACUUGGUGUUACUGCGAAGGGGGGACGGAGAAGGCUAUGUUGGCCGGGCGACGGUUGUCCCGGUUUAAGCGUGUAGGCUGGUUUUCCAGGCAAAUCCGGAAAAUCAAGGCUGAGGCGUGAUGACGAGGCACUACGGUGCUGAAGCAACAAAUGCCCUGCUUCCAGGAAAAGCCUCUAAGCAUCAGGUAACAUCAAAUCGUACCCCAAACCGACACAGGUGGUCAGGUAGAGAAUACCAAGGCGCUUGAGAGAACUCGGGUGAAGGAACUAGGCAAAAUGGUGCCGUAACUUCGGGAGAAGGCACGCUGAUAUGUAGGUGAAGUCCCUUGCGGAUGGAGCUGAAAUCAGUCGAAGAUACCAGCUGGCUGCAACUGUUUAUUAAAAACACAGCACUGUGCAAACACGAAAGUGGACGUAUACGGUGUGACGCCUGCCCGGUGCCGGAAGGUUAAUUGAUGGGGUCAGCGCAAGCGAAGCUCUUGAUCGAAGCCCCGGUAAACGGCGGCCGUAACUAUAACGGUCCUAAGGUAGCGAAAUUCCUUGUCGGGUAAGUUCCGACCUGCACGAAUGGCGUAAUGAUGGCCAGGCUGUCUCCACCCGAGACUCAGUGAAAUUGAACUCGCUGUGAAGAUGCAGUGUACCCGCGGCAAGACGGAAAGACCCCGUGAACCUUUACUAUAGCUUGACACUGAACAUUGAGCCUUGAUGUGUAGGAUAGGUGGGAGGCUUUGAAGUGUGGACGCCAGUCUGCAUGGAGCCGACCUUGAAAUACCACCCUUUAAUGUUUGAUGUUCUAACGUGGACCCGUAAUCCGGGUUGCGGACAGUGUCUGGUGGGUAGUUUGACUGGGGCGGUCUCCUCCUAAAGAGUAACGGAGGAGCACGAAGGUUGGCUAAUCCUGGUCGGACAUCAGGAGGUUAGUGCAAUGGCAUAAGCCAGCUUGACUGCGAGCGUGACGGCGCGAGCAGGUGCGAAAGCAGGUCAUAGUGAUCCGGUGGUUCUGAAUGGAAGGGCCAUCGCUCAACGGAUAAAAGGUACUCCGGGGAUAACAGGCUGAUACCGCCCAAGAGUUCAUAUCGACGGCGGUGUUUGGCACCUCGAUGUCGGCUCAUCACAUCCUGGGGCUGAAGUAGGUCCCAAGGGUAUGGCUGUUCGCCAUUUAAAGUGGUACGCGAGCUGGGUUUAGAACGUCGUGAGACAGUUCGGUCCCUAUCUGCCGUGGGCGCUGGAGAACUGAGGGGGGCUGCUCCUAGUACGAGAGGACCGGAGUGGACGCAUCACUGGUGUUCGGGUUGUCAUGCCAAUGGCACUGCCCGGUAGCUAAAUGCGGAAGAGAUAAGUGCUGAAAGCAUCUAAGCACGAAACUUGCCCCGAGAUGAGUUCUCCCUGACCCUUUAAGGGUCCUGAAGGAACGUUGAAGACGACGACGUUGAUAGGCCGGGUGUGUAAGCGCAGCGAUGCGUUGAGCUAACCGGUACUAAUGAACCGUGAGGCUUAACCUU
rnacentral:rRNA from 1 species